UUAAGCAAAAAAGAGAAGAAUUCACAUAUAGUAAACUGCCCAUUUCUGCGUUCUGUCCAGUGGCCACAACUGGAAUAGUACUAAUUCUUCAACAACAAUUGUCCAAAUACAUUAAUAAUAAUACAAAGUAAUAGAAUUUCACCUUAAAAUUAACUAAUCCAAACAUAUAGUACUAACAGUUCAAAUUCAAGUUAACAAGACAACAAUUACUCAAUCCUUAUAGGCUUCACCAAAAAAUCAGUGGAUAAAUACUUAUCAAACUGCAGCAAUUCCCACAAAAAGUUCCAAGGCAUUAGCCGCCUCCUCCGAUAUGAUAACAACGGUAGUUGAUUUAGAAUUAUUAUUUCAUACAAUACCUGCACUUCCACAAGCGUUGAAGCCCUCAAACAAUUCAAGAUAAACUGGAUGUUAUUUGUCAAAUGCCUAACAUGAAAAAAGAAACCAUAGAGCAAUCCCUAUAUGGAGAUGAAUUUUGUUAUAGAAAUUAAAAGCCUAAUGUAUAAGACUAAAGACUUACGCUAGGAGUAACUAGUAAAGUCUAUGAAGAAGAAGAUGAAGCAACUGAAGAGUGCGGCUGAGAAAGAAUAGGAGAGAAUGAACUGAAGCCCUAGCAUAUGUAUAUACUUAAGGGUAAAGUCGUAAUUUUAUUAAUUCUUAUUGGGUUAUCGGUUAACCCAUUAACAAAAUUGGCAAACCGAGGCCCAAACCGAUAACCCAAUAGUAAAAAAAUUCUAAACCGUUACCGAACCGUUAAUCUAAUAAAUAAUUAACGGUUCGGGUUAUCAGUUUUACCCGAUAUAUGCUCGGGCCUAAGCUUGAUCUCGACUCUUUCAAAGCACUCUAAAGACUUGAUAUUGACAUGGAAGCCCGACUUAGCAUGUAUGCUACCGUAAGUUAUCAUGAGUUGUCAUGUACGUCGUUACUAAAGAUUUGGUCUUUAAAUAUUUAUUCUCCUUAAUUUUGUAAAUUUGCGGCACCAAACCUCUUUAUUCCAGGACAGCAAGCUGAAAGACAUACACAGAAUUGUCUAAAGGUGGAAGCACGAAGCAGACAAGGAACUUUUAGUCAAUUUCUAAUAAAAAAAGAAUUUACGGCUAAUAUUAGUUGUAUUUUAUGAGAAUGGCUACUAUAUGUAGUUGUCACACCUCCUUUUUCCCGGGGGAUAGGAGAGUUUUUUCAAUUAAAGUGACAUUAAUCGAAGUGGGAUUAUUUAUUUGAUCAGAGUCGCCAUUUGAAAUAAUUUAUGGUGUCCCAAGUCACCGAUUUAUUUUGAAAUCCCACAUCGAGAAAAUUUGACUCUAUUUAUUUUUUUGGUCUGCGAACACAGAAGACCGGGUAAGGAAUUCUGUUAACCCGGGAGAAGGUAUGAGGCACUCCCGAGUUCUGUGGUUUUAGCACGGUCGCUUAACUAUUAAUAAUUGGCCUAAUUAUCUGAUUAAUUAUACAUUUAGAACAUACUGUGCAUUUUUAACUUCUAACCGCUUUCAAUUAAGUUAGUCACCUUUUUAGUAUUUAUAAAAUUUAUUUGAACAAGUCGUGAUGUCGUACACUUGUUUAUUUUUUGUACAUAUUGCGAACCGCACCACGUGAAAUGCACCCGCAAUUUACAACAUGUUAAUUUUAAUUAUUAUUAAAAGUUAUGAUCGGGUCACAUGAAAUGCACACCCGAAUGGGGUUUACGUAUCGUGACCAUGCCACGGAAACCGUACCCAUGGCCACGAUGAUUUAUUAAUCGCGCCUAAAGCAAAACUACGAAUGUUCAUGAUAGUUAAAACAAUUCUAGAUACAAAGAUCAAAACAGUACUAAUUGUAUCCACAAAUUUCUUCAGUAAACUUACCUAUCUUUAAAUAUAGCUUCAGAUUACAAGCCAAGCAAAGAAGUUAUAUCUUUUGUACCUAUUUUCCUUUAUUGUCUAUUUCAGUAAAUUAAUGCUCAUGUUCAUCUCAACAAUCACGCACCUAUACAGAUUUAUAGACUCUAUUCAUUCUAAAUAAAUCAGUGAGUUCAUCCUUAAUCGAGAUACUGAAUUGAGAACUCAUUAAAAAUGAGCAAAUCCAGACUUAAAUUACUUAUGAAAAAUUCUAUAGAUACAAAGACCAAAACAGUCAGUAUGCAGCAUUUCCACAACUAAUAUUGAAGAAAUGCACCAGAAAUUUCAAGCCACACUAGCACCACUAUUUCACAAAAUAUGUAUUAGAGCAAAUAUAUAAUCCCCUUGCCUCCCCUAAAAUCAGCGAACACAAAACAAUAGCUGAGAGUCAAAAGUUACCCGACUGGUAUUGCUUUCGAAAUUAGAAUACAAAGCUAAAGAAACGCACCUAAAAUUCACAGAUUGCUUAACGUGCCACGUAAAGACUAAGAGAAUGAGACGGAGCUCGACACAAGCAGAGAUCGGCAGAUACAACAGCAGCACAGUAACGUCGGACUCGACUUCAGCCCAGAAAAAGCUCGAGCAGGCAACUGGUUUGGAGCUUUCUUCAUCCAUAUUCACUUGUAGCAGGGAGCAAAUAAACGAUGAUGAAUGAUUGGCCGGCAAAACAAGAACAAAGCCGGCUAGAUCUUGUUAGAUCUGAAACACUAUUAAUGAACCAAAUGGGAGCUGCAAUUUCGCCGAUUUCCAUCGAGUUUUAUCGUAAUGGAAAAAGGGGUGAGAGAGAUGGGAACGAGGGUGAGAGUGAAGGGAAAUGGAGAUGGCUGCUGGCGGAGAGGUGAAGGGGGAAAGCUGCUAGAGUUUUUUUGAAAGGGGGGCGUCUGAUCUUCGUCCGUCUCUUCUCGUCUCCUCUUCU
rnacentral:lncRNA from 1 species